rnacentral:rRNA from 1 species
UAAUACAGAGGGUGCGAGCGUUGUUCGGAAUUAUUGGGCGUAAAGCGCUGGUAGGUGGCUUGUUAAGUCGCGUGUGAAAUCUCCAGGCUCAACCUGGAAAGUGCGCGCGAAACUGGCGGGCUUGAGUGCCGGAGAGGGUCGCGGAAUUCCCGGUGUAGAGGUGAAAUUCGUAGAUAUCGGGAGGAACACCAGAGGCGAAGGCGGCGACCUGGAAGGUAACUGACACUGAGCAGCGAAAGCGUGGGGAGCAAACAGGAUUAGAUACCCUGGUAGUCCACGCCGUAAACGAUGGAUGCUAGUUGUAGCGGGUUUUGACCCCUGCUGUGACGACGCUAACGCAAUAAGCAUCCCGCCUGGGAAGUACGGCCGCAAGGCUAAAACUUAAAUGAAUUGACGG